AGGACGAACGCUGGCGGCGUGCCUAACACAUGCAAGUUGAGCGACGAACCAGGGCUUGCCCUGGGGCAAAGCAGCGAACGGGUGAGUAACACGUGGAUAACGUACCCCGAUAACCGGGACAACUCGAGGAAACUCGAGCUAAUACCGGAUGUGCCCAUCACACACCAGUGUGAUGUGUAAAGGAAGCUUCGGCCUCCGUAUUGGGAGCGGUCCGCGGCCCAUUAGCUAGUUGGUGAGGUAACGGCUCACCAAGGCAACGAUGGGUAGGUGGUCUGAGAGGACGAUCACCCAGACUGGGACUGAGACACGGCCCAGACUCCUACGGGAGGCAGCAGUCGGGAAUCUUGGACAAUGGGCGAAAGCCUGAUCCAGCCAUGCCGCGUGAGUGAAGAAGGCCUUAGGGUUGUAAAGCUCUUUUGGCGGGACGAUAAUGACGGUACCGCAGAUAAGCCCGGCUAACUUCGUGCCAGCAGCCGC
rnacentral:rRNA from 1 species